rnacentral:rRNA from 1 species
ACCUGCACCAGUACCACCGCAAGGCUACAAUCUCAUCAGAUCUCAAGAUAAACAGGUUGGGCCUGAUCAGUGCUCGGAUGGGUGUCCUCCCAAGAAAACAAGAAUGCUGCAAGGA